GACGAACGCUAGCUACAGGCUUAACACAUGCAAGUCGAGCGGCAGCAUCGUUUUAGCUUGUUAAGGCCGAUACCGAUCGGUGCCCGGGUGAGUAACUCGUCUCCACUCUGCCGUCUACUCCUGGACAGCCGUCUGAUACGAAGAUCACUAUCUGAUGGCAUCAUGAUUCUGCAUGUUCAUUUUAUGACAGGUAUUCCGUUAGACGCUGGGGAUGCGUUGCAUUAGAUAGUGGGCGGUGUAACGGCCCACCUAGUCUUCGAUGGAUAGGGGUUCGGAGAGGAAGGGCCCCCACAGGGGAACUGAGACACGGGGCAAACACCUACGGGAGGCAGCAGUGAGGAAGAUUGGUCAAGGGGCGCAGGCCUGAACCAGCCAAGUAGCGUGAAGGAUGACUGCCCUAUGGGUUGUAAACUUCGUUUAGAAAGGAACAAAGUCGGGUAUGUAUACCCGUUUGCAUGUACUUGAUGAAUAAGGAUCGGCUAACUCCGUG
rnacentral:rRNA from 1 species